GAUGAACGCUAGCGGGAGGCCUAACACAUGCAAGCCGAGCGGUAUUGUUUCUUCGGAAAUGAGAGAGCGGCGUACGGGUGCGUAACACGUGUGCCACCUGCCUUUAUCGGGGGGAUAGCCUCUCGAAAGGAAGAUUAAUACUCCAUAAUAUAUUGAACGGCAUCGUUUAAUAUUGAAAGCUCAGGCGGAUAGAGAUGGGCACGCGCAAGAUUAGCCAGUUGGUGAGGUAACGGCUCACCAAGGCGAUGAUCUUUAGGGGGCCUGAGAGGGUGAUCCCCCACACUGGUACUGAGACACGGACCAGACUCCUACGGGAGGCAGCAGUGAGGAAUAUUGGUCAAUGGGUGCAAGCCUGAACCAGCCAUCCCGCGUGAAGGACGACUGCCCUAUGGGUUGUAACUUCUUUUGUAUAGGGAUAAACCUACCCUCGUGAGGGUAGCUGAAGGUACUAUACGAAUAAGCACCGGCUAACUCCGUGCCAGCGGCCGCCGUAA
rnacentral:rRNA from 1 species